rnacentral:lncRNA from 1 species
GAUUGUCCGUGUUCUCCAAUGUUGCCCGACCAUAUGGUAAAAAAGAUUUUCAAAUGUUGACACCACAAGAAACGGAUGACAUGCAUUGGUAUGUGCUAAACAAUUGCUAAGAGGUAGAAGCGUACAUGAUGUGAGUAUAUACAUUUAAUUUUUAUUUGUUGAUAUAUCAAUGAAUGUACGUGGACUCUAAAUUAAAAUAUACAUGGUAUUACUGUAUCACUUCAGUGAACACGAAAGUGAGCUCAGAAGAAGUAAUCCUACAUUAGCAGUGGCACGACAUAGGAAUUAAUUCGCAUCAUGGUUUGACGAACGGGUAAGUUAUGUUAAUGUUCAUCCAUGAUUAAAAGUUUGUUU